UUUCAUUCAAAUGCACCAUCUUCUUGUAGACAUGAUAGAGCCAGUACAGCACCUCCUGUGAAGCUUGCUUCUGAUAAUCAUCUUUGUCCUAUUUGCCUUACAAAUGCAAAGGAUAAGGCAUUUGGUUGCAGACAUCAUACAUGCUGUGAAUGUGGACAAGGCCUUCAGUUAUGCCCUAUCUGCGGGAGCUCCAUUCACACCAGGAUAAGGCUCUACUAAAAUCAUAUUUGCUUUUAUCCUAGAAGAGAUAAAGAGCAUCAAUCAGGAGCACCAUACUGUUUUGUUCUUGGAUUAGGGGUAACAAAUCUUUGAUCUUUUCAGAUGGAAGGGAACUCACCUGACCAUUGUGCUCUGUACUAUUAUCUGUCACAUUAAAUAUUGAAUGCAUGGAAGGACAGGAGCUACUGCUGGCUUCCGUCAAUGGUGCAAUCCUGGCUUAAACAGUAGACUCAGCAGUUGUUGUCCAGUAUUCGCAUUCGCCAGUCAAUUUUCUGUGAAUCUAUGUGUAUAGAAAUGGUUUCUGCUAGUAACUGUUGCUUUUCUGAUUCUGUAGCUUUUAAAAACCCAUUGAGAUGGUGUUAAAAAACACGUUAAUGCACAUGUAUUGCAUAGACUGUUGGUUUAUUGUGUUCUUAAAACUGCAGAACUUGUCUACGCACCAUGACAGAUGAUUACCAACGUGAAAAAACGGUAUGUUGACAUGGCAAGCUUCAUAUAUAGGAUCCAACAUUAGAAUAAAAUGAUUUGAGUCUUGGAAGCGGAUUCGUCAUUAAUCAGAACUCCCCAAUUCCAUUAGAUUUCAUUUGUAUAUUUGUGAAUUUCAAAUAAUGAGGUAU
rnacentral:misc_RNA from 1 species